AGUAGAAUGGCUGAGAUGUAGGUGAAAGAUUGUAAAUCUUUUUAGGAGUUAAAACUCUUCUACUA
rnacentral:tRNA from 1 species